ACCAUCAUAGUAUAGUGGUGAGUAUCCCCGCCUGUCAUGCGGGAGACCCGGGUUCGAUCCCCGGCAAUGGCG
rfam:Ipomoea nil DNA, scaffold: scaffold1237, cultivar: Tokyo-kokei standard.